UUUUUUUACCAACUCUAAUUAUUGUUGGUAAUUUUAUUUUAAUGAAUUUGCUACCCCGCCCAUUUCCCCACACUUUCCCGCUUCUGCUCAAGUUUACUUAUUUUCCAAUUAAAAAUAUAUCAAAAGUUAAAAGUAAUCUAGAAGAAUCAUCAAGGAUAAGGUAGGGUGGGAGGUGAUAGUGGACGGUUAUUACGAAGGAAUCAGAUCUGGAGCUCCUCCCUUGCUUUUCUCUCGUCCAUGGUUGCAGGUUGAAGUUGCCUCACUAGACACCUUUCACCACCAUCUUUUCGGGUAUUUUUCUUCGAUUUUCAAUUCUUCAGUUAAGAACUUAUUGAUAAAUUCUCUAUACAAUAAUCUCUCUCUAUUUUGAAACUCAUAAAAUUCUAGCAAAGUCAGCAACAACCUCAACUCUCACAAUUCUUUUGAGAGAACUGUUGGAGUUUUGUUCACUCCAAAUGGUUUUUGCUUCAAAAUAACAAAUGUUUCCCGUUGGUAAAAUACCCUCUUGUAUUUUUGACAUAAUAAGUGAUUGGAUUCGUGAUUGAUUUCGUGAAAGAUCAUAAUAAUAUGUUUGACCAUUCAAUUGCAUUUCCCUUGAUUUGCUCUCUAAUUAUGGGCUAAUUGAUUCACCUUCCAACUUCAUUGUCACAAAUUGAUUACCUUCCUUUUUGGCUCAUUUACUAAAUAAUAUAUAAGGCACUCUCCUUCCAAGGGAAGAGACACACAAAAAUUAUUCUUUAGCUUCCCCAUAAAAAUUGUUUCAAACCUUUUUUCUUCGUGUUCUUGGCCAGUGUCAAUUCGAUUCUCAAUCUACCUCUUUGCUACACCAAUGAGGUAGACGUCGUGUAAUCCUGGAGGUUGAUUGCUAAGAGGCCGUGUGUAUGUAACGGGGCAAAUUCAACUUUAGGACAGUGAUAUUUUGUCACGUCACGACAUUCUCAUAUAAAUUUUUUACAUUUAUCUAUUAUUAAUCAAGAUAAGUUUGUAUGAUUGAUCAUUUGCUAUUAGUCAUAUUUCCAACAAUCUAAAGUUGAAUUUUUUCUGUUUUAUUUUUCUUUAUUAUGUCUAAUAGAUUAGUGAUUACCGAGGAUCCUAUAAUUUGUUUGUUGUUAUCAAGUAGGGAUGUCAAUGGGGCGGGGCGGAUGCGGAUGUAUGUCCCUCCAUCCCUAUCCCCACCUAAAAUUUCCAUCCCCAUCCCCGCCCCAUCACCCAUGGCGGGUACAAAAUUCAUCCCCAUCCCCGCCCCAACGGGUACAAACUAAAAUCCAUCCCCGCCCCACCACCCACCUAGGUAUCCAUCCCCGUCUCAUCCCCGCCCCAUAUCCGAGUCAAUACCCACCUUGUUUUUCUUAUUUUGCAACAUUAUGGAAAAAAUAACUCCCAUAACAAAAAAAAUCAAACACAUAAAAUUAGAAGUCAUGCCUAAUUCAUAAUAUUAAAUACUACAAACUAAUCCAAACGCAUAAAAAAUUGUUCAACUUUUUAUGUUCUUUCAAUUUUUCAAUUCGCGUAGGGAAUGUUAUUCGGAUAGGGUUGACGAGUAUCAAGAGGGGCGGGUGGGGAUGGGACGGGGCGGGCGGGCGGGGAUGGGGCGGGGCGGGCGGGCGGGGAUGGGGCGGGUUCAACACAAAAUCCACACCCGCCCCAUCACCCAUGGCGGGUAUAAUUUUUAUACCCAUCCCCGCUCCAUCACCCGCCAAACCUCCCUCCAUCCCCGCCUACUUGGGGCGGAUGCGGGGCGGGUCUCCUAUAAAACCCGCCCCACUGACAUCCCUAUUAUCAAGUCUAACGGGCAACUCCGUUUGUAUGAGGAUUUGAUUCCAGCAAGGAGCAAAUUAAGUACUUUGCGAUGAUCGUUCCUUUUGAUCUUUUUGUGCGGUUAGUGCAUGUUCCAUGAAUUUGAUAUUUUGGUUCCGAUUAUGUUGUACCAAGUAUUUGGGAAUCAUUUUUUUUAAUGAAUUAAUUAAUCUUGAACAUGGAGGACGAAGAAUGAAGAAUUCUCAAAUUGAUAACAGUUGAUUUUACUUCUACAGGUUCCCUAUACAAUUCUUAAAUUUCAAUUUGUAUUUUAUUUUUAAAUUGGAAAAAAGAAAUAGCAAUUUUUAAUGGAGUUAUUGCUCAAUUUAAUGGGAUAAGCUGUACUUUUGGACGAAAUUAGUGGGCUCAUUUCAUUACAACCAUAUUAAUGUCUUUAAUGAGUUUUCUUCUGUUUAAGAUUAUUUCAUGAUUUUCUCUCCUUAUUUAUUCUUGAAUUGAUUGAUACGGUUUUUCAACCCUUCUGGUUUUUUGGUCAUGGUUUUAAAUGACUCAAUUAUCAUAAUCUUUAUGGUAAAAGUGGAACAUCUUUUCUAUUGAUACAUUUUUGAAGUCGUCCAUAAGCAAGUUGAUUUGAUUAACCUUUGUUUGAUGGUACAUAUGCAAUAGCAAUCCGGUGAUGUUGUUCACUUUAUUAUUUACCAUGAAAUAAUCUUACAGGAAUAAGAGGUGCAUAGUUAAGGCUCUAAACAAUAGAGUGUUGGUUCACAAAAAUCAAACGAUCAGUCAAGUUUACGUAGAUUGACUCCCGAUUCAAUUAGUCCAAUAUAUAUAAGCCAUAAGUGGAGUUUGCUUAUCUGGACUAUGUUGCGUCAAAAUGUAACUAAUUUCAAUAUAUAUAUAUAUAUAUAUAUAUAUAUAUAUAUAUAUAUAUAUAUAUAUAUAUAUAUAAUCUCCCUCGUGUGGUAUUAUUUUGUCAAUACUUUGUGUUUAUCAAUAUGGAUGCUUGAGGCAAAUGAACUAGUUUUACUAGUAAUGUGGAGUACUUAAUGUGUAGUAGCACUAAUUAGAAGGCUGAUCCACUAUUAAUGAGUUGUCUACUUCUUAUUUUAUUAUGUCCAUUCCUUCGAGACAUGAGUGAAUAGGAAAUAUUUAUAUUUCUUCACUAAUGAGUUUUGAGAACUUUAUGUUCUUCACUAAUAAAAGAAUUACAAAUUUUUUAAUAAGACCGUCUGACCGGUCAGUCCAUCCAACUCGCGGGUCAGUUCGCGGGUCGAAAGAGUUCAUGGGUUUUAAUUCGCGGGUCAUAUAAAUCUCUAUUUUUCACCCUAUUUCAAAGCCCUAAUUCAUUUCUCUCUCCUCAAACUCUCUGCCUCCCUCUCUCUCUCCUAAACUCUCUUCUUCUUUCUCUCUCCUCAAAUCUCGGAGAAGUAGCAAUGAUCUCUCGUCGGAGAAGUAGCACCGCCGAUCUAAACCUCCGCCUCCUUAGCACGGAAGCGCUCAAGAUUCGGUUCAAAGAUCAAACCCUAAUCCGAUCAGUUUUUGGCGAUUCGUGAUGGGCUACUUGUUUCGCUCCUGCGUCGACGACGAUGUCGAGAAUGAAGCGGCGAUUAGCAGCGGCGGCUUCGGCAAUGGAACAAAUGUGAAGGUGGCUUCGGCGGUGGUUGUACGUUGAAGAGCACAUAACUAUCGGAUCCAUCGUUGUAAUCGAGGCACCACCAACCUCUACCCCUCGCAUCUGGCCUGGUGGUUUAUGGUGGCAGAAGCUCCUGUUGUUGGAUAUUGUUGUUCGAUAGAUGUUCUUUGUAGUUGUAAUUCAUUUCAGUUAAAAAUUAAUUCAUUUUAGUUAAGAAUUUAUUUGUUUUAAUUGACAAUAACUUUGUUUUGUUAUUUAUAGUUUUUUUUAAAAUAGUUUAAUUUUAGUAAUACUUUUUAUACAUUUAGUUAAGAAUAUUUUCGUUUUAGUUAAUAAUUACGGAGUAUAUUGGUUUA